UACGAAGGGGGCUAGCGUUGCUCGGAAUCACUGGGCGUAAAGGGUGCGUAGGCGGGUCUUUAAGUCAGGGGUGAAAUCCUGGAGCUCAACUCCAGAACUGCCUUUGAUACUGAGGAUCUUGAGUUCGGGAGAGGUGAGUGGAACUGCGAGUGUAGAGGUGAAAUUCGUAGAUAUUCGCAAGAACACCAGUGGCGAAGGCGGCUCACUGGCCCGAUACUGACGCUGAGGUGCGAAAGCGUGGGGAGCAAACAGGG
rnacentral:rRNA from 1 species